AGAGUUUGAUCCUGGCUCAGGAUGAACGCUGGCGGCGUGCUUAAUACAUGCAAGUCGAACGGAGAGUGUAGCAAUACAGUCUUAGUGGCGAACGGGUGAGUAACGCGUUGGUGACCUGCCCCAAAGUGAGGGAUAACAGUUCGAAAGGACUGCUAAUACCCCAUGUGGUUUUAGAGAUUAGAGGCUUAAAAACUAAAGGUGCAAACCGCUUUGGGAGGGACCUGCGUCCCAUCAGCUAGUUGGUAGGGUAACGGCCUACCAAGGCGACGACGGGUAGGGGACCUGAGAGGGUGGCCCCCCACACUGGCACUGAAACACGGGCCAGACACCUACGGGUGGCAGCAGUAGGGAAUAUUGCACAAUGGGCGAAAGCCUGAUGCAGCAACGCCGCGUGCGCGAUGAAGGCCUUCGGGUCGUAAAGCGCUUUUCGGGGAGAUGAGGAAGGACAGUAUCCCCGGAAUAAGUCUCGGCUAACUACGUGCCAGCAGCCGCGGUAACACGUAGGAGGCAAGCGUUAUCCGAAUUUACUGGGCGUAAAGCGCGUGCAGGCGGUUCGGUAAGUUGGAUGUGAAAUCUCCUGGCUCAACUGGGAGAGGUCGUUCAAUACUGUCGGACUAGAGGAUGGUAGAGGGAGGUGGAAUUCCCGGUGUAGUGGUGAAAUGCGUAGAUAUCAGGAGGAACACCGGUGGCGAAGGCGACUUCCUGGUCCUAUACUGACGCUGAGACGCGUGAGCGUGGGGAGCAAACAGGAUUAGAUACCCUGGUAGUCCACGCCGUAAACGAUGUAAACGGGGUGUUGAGGGUAUUGACCCCUUCAGUGCCGAAGCUAACGCAUUAAGGAACCGCCCUGGGG
rnacentral:rRNA from 1 species